rnacentral:rRNA from 1 species
CGCUCUCUGAGUAUUUUAUUAGAUAGCUUUAAUAAAUAAUUUUAUAGAGAGUCGGACCUGCCCGGUGACUAAAAUAUGUUAAACGGCCGCGGUACCCUGACCGUGCAAAGGUAGCAUAAUCAUUUGCCUUUUAAUUGGAGGCUGGUAUGAAUGGUUUGACGAGAGCUAAGCUGUCUCUUUUUAAAUAUAUAAAAAUUAAUUUUUAGGUGAAGAGGCCUAAAUUUAAUUGAGGGACAAGAAGACCCCGUUGAGCUUUAGUGAUUUAAUAAAUAUAUUUUAGUAUAUUAGAGCUGCUUGUAUUUUAUUACAUUUAAUGAAAAUUUUAUUUAUUAAUAUAUCUUUAGUUGGGGCGACUGAGGAACAAAUAAAGCUUCCUUGUUAAUAAAGUGAUAUAUAAAUGAAAGCAAUUUAUUAGCAGUGAUCCAAUAUCUAUUGAUUAGAGGAAUAAGUUACCACGGGGAUAACAGCGUAAUCUUUCUGGAGAGUUCUUAUCGAAAGGAGGGUUUGCGACCUCGAUGUUGGACUAAGAUAUCCUGGGAGUGCAGAAGCUUCUAAAGGUUAGUCUGUUCGACUAUUAAAAUCUU